GUGCCAGCCGCCGCGGUAAUACGGAGGAUGCGAGCGUUAUCCGGAUUUAUUGGGUUUAAAGGGUGCGUAGGCGGAAAGUUAAGUCAGCGGUAAAAUCGAGGGGCUCAACCCCUUCCCGCCGUUGAAACUGGUUUUCUUGAGUGGAAGAGAAGUAUGCGGAAUGCGUGGUGUAGCGGUGAAAUGCAUAGAUAUCACGCAGAACCCCGAUUGCGAAGGCAGCAUACCGGCUUCCAACUGACGCUGAAGCACGAAAGCGUGGGGAUCGAACAGGAUUAGAUACCCUGGUAGUCCACGCGGUAAACGAUGAAUACUAGGUGUCCGGGCUAAAUGAGGUCUGGGUGCCACAGCGAAAGCGUUAAGUAUUCCACCUGGGGAGUACGCCGGCAACGGUGAA
rnacentral:rRNA from 1 species